AUUGAACGCUGGCGGAAUGCUUUACACAUGCAAGUCGAACGGCAGCACGGGGCAACCUGGUGGCGAGUGGCGAACGGGUGAGUAAUACAUCGGAACGUGCCCAAUCGUGGGGGAUAACGUAGCGAAAGUUACGCUAAUACCGCAUACGAUCUACGGAUGAAAGCGGGGGAUCGCAAGACCUCGCGCGAGUGGAGCGGCCGAUGUCAGAUUAGGUAGUUGGUGGGGUAAAGGCUCACCAAGCCAACGAUCUGUAGCUGGUCUGAGAGGACGACCAGCCACACUGGAACUGAGACACGGUCCAGACUCCUACGGGAGGCAGCAGUGGGGAAUUUUGGACAAUGGGCGCAAGCCUGAUCCAGCCAUUCCGCGUGCAGGAUGAAGGCCUUCGGUUGUAACUGCUUUGUACGUACGAAACGGCGAGCUCUAAUACAGUUGCUAAUGACGGUACCGUAAGAAUAAGCACCGGCUAACUACGUGCCAGCAGCCGCGGUAACG
rnacentral:rRNA from 1 species